AGUUAUUAAGCUUUAAGCAUUUUGUUUUGAAAGCAAAAGAAAAGUUAUAGAAAACUUAAUAAUUU
rnacentral:tRNA from 1 species